UUUUUCUUAUUUUUUUUCUUUCCCUUGAUUCAAAGUCUCUUCAGAUCCUGUAAGAAUUGUAUCUUUUGAGAUCCAAUGCUUCGUGCAAGCUAUUGUAUCGAAAGAGUAUUCUAGUUUCAAGACUGGAUAAUUCUUAUUUUGAGUAUUCCUUUGUAAUUUUGUUUUGCCUUAGACUUGUAUGUUCAGAUUCUUAGGUAAAAUUGAUGUAUUUUUUCUUAUCCUUUGAUUGUAUAACCAAACCAAUGUGGUUAAUUGGAUGUGUCGAAUGAAUCAAA
rnacentral:lncRNA from 1 species